CGGGCGUGCAUCCCUUCCCUACGUGCCGCUCCGUCCAGCUCGCCUCGCUGCGGCGUCGCGCGUCUGGCCCUGCCGAACCCAACCAGGACGUAUGCGGCGACGAUCCAUCCGCAGCAACAACCCGACCAAGUCCUUGCCGCCGCUGCUGCUCUUCCUCGCGGCCUGAGUUUGCCGGCUCACGCGCCCCAUCCGUGCUCACGACCAGGAUCUCUCACACUCCAAUCAUGCUUCUACAGUACACCGGGGUUGCUGUUUCGGUGCUGCUGUCUACUGCCGUCCACGUCAUGCCGCUGCCGGUGUGCUCCCAAGGUCCAUUUUCCUCAGGUCACUGUCCAUUCCCGUCGCCGGCGCCCUCUGCUAGGUGCUGCGGUGGCGUUGCUCUCCACCAGGGCUACUGCUAGGUGCUACUACAUUCUUCAACUCGGACCUCCACCACAGCACCGCGUCCACAAUCCGGACAACAAAAUCCGAGGUUAUGUUCAUGUACCGGUGGUGGUGCCUGCUGCUGCUGCUGAUGCCGUUGUGUCACCCAGCUGCCCCAGUUUUCUUCGAUUGGGACCUCCUACAGUACCGUGUUCCCGCUCGGUCACUGUCCUUUUCCGGUGGUGUUGCCCUCCGGUGGUGCUGUAGUACCGUGGUGGUGGUGUUCUGCAAAUGCUCCUGCUGGUGCUGCCUGCAUCCACUAAUGGCUGUUGCUCCUGGCUUCUUCGACUGGGUCUAUCGUACAGCGCCAUCCCCCCCAAAGAUCUCUCCUUCUCUCACCGUUUCUCUCUAUUUUCCUUGAACUGCGCCAUGUAUGUUUGCGUAGAAGUGAGGUUUGAUUUUCUUUUUACUACCUUGUUAGUCUGUGGUGAUGAUAAAUGUCUGAAUAUCUAUUCCUUUGUUGUAUGUGUGUUGCUUCCAGAGCAAAACAAUGCUAUAUUCCUUCGUUGCUAUUGACUGGCAUGCCUUGAUUGGUCUGGUUCUCACUAGACACUGUGCUCUGUUUUGGUCUUGUUGACUUGAUUAGGUUAUCUCUCUAGUAGAUUGGCUACUGUUUUUGGUUUAAUUUAUGCAUUAAAAGCAUUGUAAGGUUCAACUGAUUGAUUUGUAGCACAAUAUCGAUGAUUUGCUCAAAUACUAGACCUGGAUAGGUUUGCUAGCUCUUUACUUGUUUUGUUGGAGUAAAAUGAUUGUUCUUUAGCAGCAGCGAAGCAAACAAAGUUUACAUAUUUCAAAAGGGUUUAUUUGUUGCCAAUCACGUGGUUUCUUUUAAUACACGGGUUUUUGGAGUAAUCAAAUCAUUUGACAAGUUCCAACCUAUUUAUGCUUGUAUGAAUUCAAACUUGUCUAGACUGAUGUGUUGCUCUUGUUGGAUAAUACUAGCUGAUUAUUAAUCAACUACUUGUUGUACUACUACUAUUUAACAUCUUAUUUUGCAGCUAGAUUAAUUAAGUAACCGUGUGGAGAUAGAUUUCUCCCAUCUAUUUUUUUGUAGAACCAUUGGUAGCACAUGCCUGUGAGGCUGUAAUUAUGCUCAGGUUACGUUCCUGUAACGGUGGUGCCCUCUGGUUGUGCUGGUGCUGCUGGCGUCUGCGUCGCCGAGCUGCCCCUGUUUUCUUCGACUGUGGUGGUGCUGCUGCUGGCACGGCUUCUUUAGCCCGGAUGUGCCCCUGGUCUGCGUAGUUGGUGGUCUCGCUUGCCGACGGGUCGGUGCCUCUCCUCCUCCUACUGAGACAACAUCGGCAAAUAGAUGGCUCAGGGUUUCUGUUUGCUGGUUGCACUUAAUGGAGCUGAUCUGGACUACUAUAUCAAAGUGGUCAAUUUGUUGUGAGUCAACGCAAUGCUGGCUUAUAAUGAUGCAUGAAUUCUAUUGUUUCUUGUUUCAAAUGCCUGCCGCUGCUUAUCUUGAAACAUUGAUUGCUUUGCUGACCAUUCCAUUUUUUGUUUGUUUUGAGGAUGAGUACUAAAUGGCAACGGUGGCCUUCUUCUUUGACCACAUGAGGUUUGGUAGCAGCUGGGGCCAGAUGCAUCUCUUGGAAGCAAGCUGGCUGGAAAGACCUUGGGGACAAGGAUAUGUCACCAAGCGAUGUCUCUUGGUCCCGAUUCCCGAAGCAGCAGCUGGGCUCCUAGCAAGCAUCUUGAUUAGCUUGAUGUAUAUGGUCGCAAUGCAUGGGCAACCUGAUGCAUGUGUUGUUUUGCUGAUCGUCCCAAGACUGAAUUGUAUGAGAUGUGCUGUAUGCACCUCAUCUUUGUUCAUAUGAAUUGUUUGCUGUGUGAUCUGGGUGUCCGAAAAACCAAGAAGGUCAAUCCAAAAAAUUUAAUUUUCUGUGAUCUCAA